rnacentral:misc_RNA from 1 species
GUGGGAGCGAGCUUGCUCGCGAAGGGGCCCUGUCAGCCAAUAUCACCUUAGCUGACCCUCCGCAUUCGCGAGCAAGCUCGCUCCCAC